ACGGGGGAUGCAAGCGUUAUCCGGAUUUACUGGGUUUAAAGGGUGCGUAGGCGGUUUGAUAAGUCAGCGGUGAAAUAUUUCAGCUUAACUGAAAGGGUGCCGGUGAUACUGGCAGGCUUGGAUAUGGUUGCGGUGGGAGGUAUGUGUGGUGUAGCGGUGAAAUGCUUAGAUAUCUCGCAGAAUAUCGAUUGCGAAGGCAGCUCACAAGGCCGUUAUUGACGCUGAUGCACGAAAGUGUGGGGAGCAAACAG
rnacentral:rRNA from 1 species